CUUCAACUUGUUUUUUGACGAAACUGUCAAAGCAAAUGUGCAACAGCCUGCAGUAAGAAGUCUACACAGGAAGAAUUGCGCAGAAUCGCCAAGCAGGAGAAUUGUGGAGAGAAGGCAGAGAAAGCUGAGAGAAAGAGAGACUGACGCGCAAAACGAAAUGGAGAACAAUGAACAAAUCGAAUGGGGCUAUAUCCUCAACCAGGACGUCCUCCUCCUCUUCCUGCUGUCCCGAACUCGGUUUACCUGGCUAGGCUCUUGAAAAUUUAUUCGUCACUCCGUCAACCCUCAUUUGCACUUGAGGAGCGCACCAAACACUCGAGGUCCUUCGCGCUACCUCGCUUUUACUGGCUUCUGCGUCAUUUAGUGGACUUUUUAUGGCUUCCUGCGGGGCAACGCGGCGGGCACUUAAUGCCAUAUGCAAAACCCCCAGCCACACUCACUCGCGCACACCAGCACAUUCCGGGGGCCAUAUCCUUCGCUGGAUUCUUCUUGACCUUUAUUAAUAAAUUUUCAAGUUGCCUUUGCCAUGGACACCGAG